GUGUGAUGUGGCAUUUUUCGCCUUGCAAGAAAAUUUGUAAUGCAUGAUGACCCAAAAGGAACCAAAGGACGAGAGGAAGAGGCCGUUCAAACGAAGAAGCUAGGGAUCGAGGAGGCCGUUCAAACAAAGAAGCUCGAGAUCGAGGCCACUAAUGCAAACACCAAAGCAAAAGUGGUGGCACUAGUUUUCAUGACUGUGGGCUUGAGCAAGAUUUCCCCGAAAAGAAGUUGAUUCGAGAAAAAGCAAAAGGAGAUGCUCGAUCAAGAUGAUUGAGCUACGGCCGCGAGACAUGAACUGUGGCCCUUUUUUGUGCGUUGGCAAGUGUGUCGGCCGUUGGCUUUGUUUGCCGACGUGAAACUGUGGGGGUGAUCAUUUUGUAAGCUGGCAUAUGUGUCGGCCGCCGCUGUUCUAGCCAUCAUGAACUAUAGCUGCCGGUGUGAACUAUGGCCGUGGGGCUUAAAUUUCAGUUUCCAUUUCCUUUGGAAAGAAGUACAGUUUUCACCCUCAAAUCCACUCCAAUGUCUCCAUAACACCCCAAAGUCAAUUUUGGUCUGAUUUUGACCCCAAAAAUAUCAAUACCAGUUUAAUCUAGCCCUAAGCGGUUUAGUAUCACAUCAAGAGUGGUUUUGCAUCUGGUUUUCGUUUAUUUGAUGCUGACUUGGCACUGAUGUCCAUGGCGUCCCGGUCGGCGCUUUCCUUUCAUAAAUUCCCCAAUCUGCGCUCGAACCCAAAAUUCCCCAUUGAUGCUCGCUCGCUCGAUCCAGACCUCACGCUCGAAUUCAGACCUCAUUCUCGAAUUGGCUGCAGUCCAUGGCGUCGUUCGCGAGCUUCUCGGCAAGCUCCUCCUAUUCCAGUGGUACGGCGGCGACGUCGCAGUCGCCGGUGGCAUAUCAGGAGGGUCCGUUGCAGUACGAGCUAGAGAGGCUGUGUGGAUGCGCAGUGAGAAGCAAUACGAGCUUCAGCCUCGACGCAUUUCUUGAAGCGUGCUGAAUCCAGGACGCAGGGUGUGGUCUGUAGGUGAAUCGUGACAUGAUAUUGGCGAAUGGUCUGAAAAAAGAGAAGAUGCAAUUGAAGAAUCUCGCAUCGAGACAUGAUGUUGGGUACGUAGUUGAGUGGAGACGGGCAUGAGGUUGCUUGUGAAUGAGAUGCAACAGGCAUCAGUAGUACUCUGAAUUCAGUCCAAGUUCAGACUAGUUAUACUGUAAUACUAAAACUAUAGUAAAAGUUCUGUACAAAUGCAGUCAAAACUCAGAGUACUUAUACUA